rnacentral:lncRNA from 10 species
GAGUCGUCGCGUGCCCGGGUGCCCGCGGAUAGCAGGAGAGAGGACGGGCGCUGGCCCCACAGGGGUCGCUUUACCCCUUGAAGACCUCCUCGCUGCCUGCCCUGGGGGUGGCGGGCGCCCAGGUUCGCAGGGUACUUGAGCUUGCUGGUUGGGAUGUAUCAAGUGCGUCCAGGGUUUUCUGGAGCGCGUCUAGCAGUUGCUCUACUUCUUACUGACAUGAAACAAGGGCCCCCACGACAGGUGUUCCCUUUUCGCUGUCGCUGCCAGGAAGCUUCCAGCCAGGUUCAGCGCCCAGUGGUGUCAGCCGGCCCAUCUCGAGCCUUGGUUCCGCUGUCAUCUUCUGGUGCUUAUUCUGGUAUUUAUCCAACUGUCAAUUUUGAAAUUAUGUUCCCAAGCCAUUUAACACCUCUGGAGUUCAAAGCAGUGGCUGUCAGCGGAGAGGGAUGCACGCGCAGCGGAGGGGACUGUGCACGCCAACCCCACGAGGGUUCCUGCGGAGAUGGCGCGGACCUUGAGGCUGUGGGACUUGAGGACGUUUGAGUUACAUCCCAAAUACAUGAGAAAAUCACGAAAGUGGAAGAAAGCAUCAAGAGCAGAAUCCAUGCCACUGUCAUGACCUGAGAGAAAUUUGGUGGAGUCGAGGAGGGCAGUAGAGGACACUGAAUGCUAAGUAGCAGGAGGAUGACAGAGACGAAUUCUGAAUCAUUGACAG